rnacentral:rRNA from 1 species
GAUGAACGCUGGCGGCGUGCCUAAUACAUGCAAGUCGAGCGAAUGGAUUAAGAGCUUGCUCUUAUGAAGUCAGCGGCGGACGGGUGAGUAACACGUGGGUAACCUGCCCAUAAGACUGGGAUAACUCCGGGAAACCGGGGCUAAUACCGGAUAACAUUUUGAACUGCAUGGUUCGAAAUUGAAAGGCGGCUUCGGCUGUCACUUAUGGAUGGACCCGUGUCGCAUUAGCUAGUUGGUGAGGUAACGGCUCACCAAGGCAACGAUGCGUAGCCGACCUGAGAGGGUGAUCGGCCACACUGGGACUGAGACACGGCCCAGACUCCUACGGGAGGCAGCAGUAGGGAAUCUUCCGCAAUGGACGAAAGUCUGACGGAGCAACGCCGCGUGAGUGAUGAAGGCUUUCGGGUCGUAAAACUCUGUUGUUAGGGAAGAACAAGUGCUAGUUGAAUAAGCUGGCACCUUGACGGUACCUAACCAGAAAGCCACGGCUAACUACGUGCCAGCCGCCGCGGUAA